GAGGCCACCUGUUUUCAAAUCCAGCCCCCACCCUUGUGUGACCAUGGGCUAAUUGCUUAAGCUCCCCACAGUUCCAAUUUCUCCAUAUAGUUGGCAUACAAGGGUUUGUUUUGAGCAUUGAUGUAAGUUAUAUCCAGUAAUAUUUGCAAACAUCUUAGAAUGUGGCUGGUGUAGGGUAUAGAUGAAAGGAUUCAGCAUCGGAGCCACCAUUGAAUACAUGAUGGUUGACAGAGUGUCGCUCUCAGGCAUAUGGGGGGAUGAAGGGCUGAAAUAGACGGCGAUGGCUGUGCCGUAAAACAACACCACCACUGACAGGUGGCAGCUGCAGGUGGAAACAGCUCUCUGCUUGCCCUGAGUAGAGGUGAUCUUCAGAACAGUGGAGAAGAUAAGUCCAUAAGAUACGAGGAUACAGACAAGGGGCGUGAGAGCCAAUAGACCUCCUACUGCAAAAAUGAUCAUUACAUUGAAGGAGACGUCAGAGCAAGAGAGCUGCAGGAGAGGAUUGAGAUCACAGAAGAAAUGAUGGAUGAUAUUGGAGGCACAGAAGGACAGCUGUGCUAUUAGGACAGUAUGCAGGAGGGCGUGGAGGUAAGUAACAAGCCACAGUCCAGCCACUAGCUGGACACAAAGGCACAGGUUCAUUCUGGCGGUGUAAUGUAAGGGGUGGCAAAUCGCCACAUAUCUAUCAUACGCCAUCACACACAGAAGGAGGCUGUCCAUAUUCACAAAAGAAACGAAGAAGAAGAGCUGGGUGAGGCAGCCUGCAAAAGAGAUAGUCUUGGUGCCAGUCAAGAUAUUCACUACCAUUUGGGGGACUGUAGUCGACGUAAAGCAGAUGUCAACAAAGGCCAAGUUACUAAGGAAGAAGUACAUAGGGGAAUGGAGGUGAGAGUCAAAGCCAAUCGUCGCAAUGAUGAGCAUGUUCCCCAAGGUGGUGGCUAAAUACAUACAGAGAAAGAGCACAGACAGGAGGUGCUGCUGCUCUGCUGAGCUAGGAAGUCCCAGAAGGACGAAUUCCCUGACAACUGUUAGAUUUCUUUUUUCCAUAUUCCCAACAAAUCUAGAAAAAUAAGUUAUUAAAUUGUAAAAGCCA
ensembl:lncRNA novel transcript, antisense to OR13G1, OR6F1 and OR14A2